GAUGAACGCUGGCGGCGUGCCUAAUACAUGCAAGUAGAACGCUGAAGGAGGAGCUUGCUCUUCUGGAUGAGUUGCGAACGGGUGAGUAACGCGUAGGUAACCUGCCUGGUAGCGGGGGAUAACUAUUGGAAACGAUAGCUAAUACCGCAUGACAACAGUUAUUGCAUGAUAACUGUUUAAAAGGGGCAACUGCUCCACUACCAGAUGGACCUGCGUUGUAUUAGCUAGUUGGUGAGGUAACGGCUCACCAAGGCGACGAUACAUAGCCGACCUGAGAGGGUGAUCGGCCACACUGGGACUGAGACACGGCCCAGACUCCUACGGGAGGCAGCAGUAGGGAAUCUUCGGCAAUGGACGGAAGUCUGACCGAGCAACGCCGCGGGAGGGAAGAAGGUUUUCGGAUCGUAAAGCUCUGUUGUAAGAGAAGAACGAGUGUGAGAGUGGAAAGUUCACACUGUGACGGUAUCUUACCAGAAAGGGACGGCUAACUACGUG
rnacentral:rRNA from 1 species